GUGCAAGGGAGGGAGGGUAUGGUGAGAAGAGACCCAGGUAUAGUGAGAAGAGGCCUGGGCGGGAGCAGGAGGCAGGACUGAGGCUUCCGCUGGGUGCAUGAGCUCAGUCGGGGGCAGGCCACACCUGAGGUCCAGACGGAAGACCACAGCCCCGGGAGUCAGGCACCAGCAGAGGCCUGCGUGGGAAAGGGAGCCUGCUCUGCCCUGAGGACAUGGGGGCUCUGGGAGGAGGAAGUGGAAAACGUCCUGAAGGAGCGGGCACUGGCCCAGCAGAGUCGGAGUCACCUUUCACGGACACACAGACCCUCUGCGGUGGAAGGGCAGGUGCUGUGAUUCCUACAGAUGCACAGAGCUCAAAGUUCAUGGCUCACCCAGGUGGAACCGGGAGGAAAAGAUGCGUUCAUGGAAGGAGCCCAGUCACCAGCCAAGCAGCUCACCGAAGGCCCAGACGCCCCAACCGAGCCCCACCGGCUACAAAGACGACGCGCCCACCCCGGACGGGUCGCCGGCCGCUUUCUUGGG
rnacentral:lncRNA from 1 species